rnacentral:rRNA from 1 species
UCGUAGGAAAUCUACCUUAUAGAGGGGGAUAACCUGGGGAAACUCGGGCUAAUACCGCAUAAUCUCUUUGGAGCAAAGCGGGGGAUCUUCGGACCUCGUGCUAUAAGAUGAGCCUACGUCGGAUUAGCUUGUUGGUGGGGUAAUGGCCUACCAAGGCGACGAUCCGUAGCUGGUCUGAGAGGACGAUCAGCCACACUGGGACUGAGACACGGCCCAGACUCCUACGGGAGGCAGCAGUGGGGAAUAUUGGACAAUGGGGGAAACCCUGAUCCAGCAAUGCCGCGUGUGUGAAGAAGGCCUUCGGGUUGUAAAGCACUUUCGGUGGGGAAGAAAUUCUCAAGGGUAAUAUCCUUGGGCGUUGACGUUACCCACAGAAGAAGCACUGGCUAACUCUGUGCCAGCAGCCGCGGUAAUACAGAGAGUGCAAGCGUUAAUCGGAAUCACUGGGCGUAAAGCGCGCGUAGGUGGAUAUUUAAGUCGGAUGUGAAAGCCCUGGGCUUAACCUGGGAAUUGCACCCGAUACUGGGUAUCUUGAGUAUGGUAGAGGGAAGUGGAAUUUCCGGUGUAGCGGUGAAAUGCGUAGAUAUCGGAAAGAACACCAGUGGCGAAGGCGACUUCCUGGACCAAUACUGACACUGAGGCGCGAAAGCGUGGGGAGCAAACAGGAUUAGAGACCCUGGUAGUCCACGCCGUCAACGAUGAGAACUAGCUG